rnacentral:lncRNA from 1 species
CUUGAUGAUAAGCAUUGUUACCUUAGAAAGCAUGCAAUAUCUUGCACAUGACCAAAAUUAACUCCCGUAUUCCUUGGUAACCACCCAAUAUGCUGGCCAAUUCAACAGAGUGUAGAAGGUAUCACUCCAGAGUUUAAUUUGGUUUAAUCAAUCAAUCUUCUAAAUUGGAACUCAAUAAUGCAAGUAAAGAACUGUUGCAUAUAUAACAAAUGAGGCAUAGAUUUGCCUAGGAUGUAUGCAAGACAUGUGCCCAGUAGGAAAAGAAUUAAAAUAUAUGUAACUGGCAAAAAUGCCUGAAAAUUAAUAAUGCCUGAAAUCAGUUACCUUCCAAACUUCAAUGAUAAUUCGCUUCAACACAUGGAGGAUAAAUACCUAAAACUAAGAUUAAAUGAGCAUUAGUUUUUUAUCCAAACAACUAUCUAUGUCAAGAACCCGAAACAUAGUAAAUUUACACCAAGUAACACCAUAGUCUACUCUUAGUCAAUAUAAAUGGAAUAUCAUAAACAAUAAUGGCAAACUCACCGGUGCCAACAAUAUGAUAAAAUAAGAUGAGACAUGGAAAGGAUCAAGUUUGAUGAUUUGGAACAUAAAAGGUCCAGGUUUAGUCGUUAAAAAACCAUAUCUAGGUCUAAAUUCUAAUGGUUUUCAAGCAAUCAGUACACAUUACUGGAUUUUUCUGGCAGAUCUGAAUAUAGACCGGGAAGGUGAAAUCAUAUUGAGAUGACCUGUUUACACAAAGAUAAUGUUGAUGAUAACCUUUAAAAAUAACACACUUCUUUGUGUAUCAUGCACAAGAAACUGGAUGGGAAUCAACUUUCUUGGCAUCUGAUUGCCACACAAAUAAUUACUAAAAUUAUAGAAAGACAGACCCCCAUACUUCACAAGUUAAAAAACGAUAUUCAUGAUGAAAAAAGUGAAAAUCCUCAACAUUUUAGAUUUAGCUUCUACCAGUGGAACAAAAUUAAAGUGUUUUCAAAUUCGAAGUACCUCUAGUUCUGGUGUGAAUUAAAUGCUAAGUUUCAGGGAAUAACAGAGCAGAUACAAGCAGAAUUGAUAAGUCUCCAGAGGAUAGAAUCCAUCAUAUCAUAUAUGAUUGCUCCUGCAUGAGACAAUAAGAAUUCUAGGAACCCUAUACUAAUUUCUUAGAGAGGGGUUGAGUUAUACACUUUUUUUUUUUUUGGGGUAAAAGUUGACUUAUAAACUUUCAUUGUAGAACAAGGAUACGAUAUAAAGAGAAUAGGGCUUGCAAACUCAAAUUAAAAAAAAAAAAAAAGGAAAUAGAAAUAAAGAUCAGGCAAAAAAAAUAAGGCUGCUCUUUCAAUGUUGCAC